AUCUCAAAGCUCACUCUGUGCAGAAUCUCUGAGAAGUCUAAUAUAAACUGAAUGAGGAUGAUGUGCAGACCAGGCCUGGGCCACAGACACUGGGCAUAUGUGUUGGAUUCUCAAUUCAGGACUGAGGAAAAUCAAACACAAAGAUGAUAUAUAUAUUCAAUUCUUUACCAUUGGCUCGGUCAUCUCUGCCUAUAAAAAUGAUCAUAUUAUCCUCUCUCCCACUGGAGCACUCCUAUCCUCAACUAUAAAAACUGCCUCGGACUCAACGGCAAUCCUUCCUCUGCUGUCAACUCUGUCACUCCUUGACACCUUGCAAUUUGGCUUCCGGUGAAAAUGUUUCUCAGAUGUUAUCAGUGAUUCCGCGUUGCCAAAUUCAAUGGCAUUUUGUCAGAACUCAUUGUCUUUAUGUGCUCUAAAGAAACCCAUAUUUCUGAUCACCCCUUCCUUUUGCACAUCAAUGUAUAAUAUAAUACAUCUACUGAUUAAAUACUCAUUUUACAAAACUCCUAAAUGCUAGAAGAGAGACACAGAUUUAAAAUCCAUAUUUUGUUCUUUGGACGAAAUUUUACACAAAGAAUAACACUGAGUACCAAAAUCUGGCAAAACUUUAAUAAAUGUGUCAAUUACUUAACCUAAAACUUAUGAUCUCACCUUAUCCAGUACCAAACUAAAUUUCCAGGCCCACCAUCUACAUAUCAUCGAACUUAAAUAUGUCCAGUGCUCUUUCCGUGCUAUUUUCUUCUAUCUUUAUCCCCCAUGCUACCUGGAAUUACAGCUAACCCUUGGUGCCCAGCUCUAAUGGCCUCUCUUGUGGGACUGGGUCCCUGGUUGCUUCAGGCUACGAUGAUCACCACCUUCUCUGAAUCACAGCAUUUUAUGUGACAGUCAUCAGAUAGUGCUUUAUGCCACAGUUUUCUAUAAUCCCUACUGUCUGAUUGACUGAAUAUAGGCCCUUAAAGUUAGGGAGCAGGUACCAUUCUUUCUAUUUUUGAGAGAAGCAGAAGCAUGCAGUGAUGGCCAUCCAUGUCUUCACACCUCCCUGUAUCCAAGCUCUCAGGGGGUCUCCUUCCACAGUAACCCUGGCUUGGCCAUGAGACUUGUUUCAUCCAAUGAGAUAUUAGCAGAUUUGAUGCAAGCAGAGGCUUCCUGAGCAUUUACAUCCUGGAGACUGUUUUCUUUUGCUGUUCUCUGGAACUCUGAAACCACUGCAUGGGCUAGCUUUGCGAAAGGUGAAACACUCCAUGAAACAGAAACAAGUUCACCCACCUGAGCACCCCCAAACCAACCAGACCCCAACCAAGACCCCAGCCUGAACAGAUCCACCAAGCUGACCCAGGCCAGAAGAACCACACUGCUGACCACAGUAUCAUGAGAAUAAAUGCUUGCUGUUUAAAGCCAUUACAGUUUCUGGUGAUGUAGGGGGAGGUGUUAAUGGAUGUACCGGGUAUCUGGCACACUGUAUUAUUCUGAAAUGAGUAAAGAAUACAAUUUUAAUAAAAUCUCUCUCAUCAUCCAAUUCUUACUUAGUAGAUUUUCUCUAGCCUAGAAAUUGAAAUACUCCAUAUGUCUGCAAAGGGUUUUCUAGUUUGU
rnacentral:lncRNA from 1 species